rnacentral:rRNA from 2 species
GUAUAGCAACUAUACAGUGAAACUGCGAAUGGCUCAUUAAAUCAGUUAUCGUUUAUUUGAUAGUACCUUACUACUUGGAUAACCGUGGUAAUUCUAGAGCUAAUACAUGCUAAAAAUCCCGACCUCCGGAAGGGAUGUAUUUAUUAGAUAAAAAACCAAUGCCUUCGGGCUCCUUGGUGAUUCAUGAUAACUUAACGAAUCGCAUGGCCUUGCGCCGGCGAUGGUUCAUUCAAAUUUCUGCCCUAUCAACUUUCGAUGGUAGGAUAGUGGCCUACCAUGGUUUCAACGGGUAACGGGGAAUUAGGGUUCGAUUCCGGAGAGGGAGCCUGAGAAACGGCUACCACAUCCAAGGAAGGCAGCAGGCGCGCAAAUUACCCAAUCCCAAUCCGGGGAGGUAGUGACAAUAAAUACUGAUACAGGGCUCUUUUGGGUCUUGUAAUUGGAAUGAGUACAAUUUAAAUCCCUUAACGAGGAACAAUUGGAGGGCAAGUCUGGUGCCAGCAGCCGCGGUAAUUCCAGCUCCAAUAGCGUAUAUUAAAGUUGUUGCAGUUAAAAAGCUCGUAGUUGAACCUUGGGUCUGGCUGCCCGGUCCGCCUAACCGCGUGCACUGGUGCGGCCGGAUCUUUCCUUCUGGCUAACCUCAUGCCCUUCACUGGGUGUGCUGGGGAUCCAGGACUUUUACUUUGAAAAAAUUAGAGUGUUCAAAGCAGGCCUUUGCUCGAAUACAUUAGCAUGGAAUAAUAGAAUAGGACGGCGGUUCUAUUUUGUUGGUUUCUAGAGCCACCGUAAUGAUUAAUAGGGAUAGUCGGGGGCAUCAGUAUUCAAUUGUCAGAGGUGAAAUUCUUGGAUUUAUUGAAGACUAACUACUGCGAAAGCAUUUGCCAAGGAUGUUUUCAUUAAUCAGUGAACGAAAGUUAUGGGAUCGAAGACGAUCAGAUACCGUCGUAGUCUUAACCAUAAACUAUGCCGACUAGGGAUCGGGCGGUGUUCAACUUAUGACCCGCUCGGCACCUUACGAGAAAUCAAAGUUUUUGGGUCUGGGGGAGUAUGCGCAAG